GACAAAUGGAGGAAGCCACCGGGGCGAGAGGCGGCAGCGGCAGCGGCUGUGACGCGUCACAGCUGCCGCGGUCGCUCUGAGAGAAUGACAGAGGGAGCGCGGGGCGCUUUGCGUGGCUUCGCCUGGCAGGCUCAGCGUCCCAAUUAGCUCCCCGUAAACAAAGGAGGAAGUUUUGCCGCGGCGCUCGCGCUCUCCUUCCUCACCUCCCCGCCACCCUCACAUCUUCACCGCCACCUCCACCAGCGCAGCCCAGCGAGAGCUUCCUCUCCCCCCUUUUUUCUGCUAGCAGAUAAGAGGCGUUCAGAAGUGGCGCAGCCCCCGCUCUGAUAGCGCGAGGUGUCACCAAUGAAAGGCAGCGUCCCCGCUGAAUACGCUCGCGUGGAUGAAAGGUUGCUGUUGUUGGUUUGCACCUCGCCAGCAGUCAAAAUGGAGAGCAACAACACGUCCUCCUCCCCCUGCCUUUGAAGGCGUAAACCCAACCGGUGAGUUUAACGCAUUUCUAAUGAACCAACGCCGGAUGGAGUCUGGAGAUUAGUCAUCACACGUCGCCAACGUGGAUCACGUCCGCCGAGGUGCGUCGUUUAUCAUCUCGUCGACGCCAUCAACGUCUCAGCAGAAGCACCCGAAAUGAAAAACCUCCUCCAUUCCCAAUAAUGAACUUUGUUUUGCUGAUGUCACAGAAAUCUAGAAUCAGUGUUUGUUCGGCUGCUGGGUUCAUAAAGAAGUGGUUCAAAGGAUUUAGGGAGGAAUCUCUUCUUGUUUGUGUCGGCACUUCUUCAAUUAGCGUUUGACAGAUGGCAUUGUCUUCAGAUGUGCUGUCGUAUUCAUAUAAAUAAGCCUUGCGGUGUCGUCCAUUCACCAGUGACAGGCAGCUGCUAAGAGGCCUUUCUGACCCACCGCUGAACACGGCCGGAUCUUCAGCAGCGAAGGUUCCAGUUAACCACGGACUCCUCUCUCCAUGUCGACUGAUUGCAUCAUCGGCUCGCCGCUGGCGUGAAAGUGGCUGAGUGAGAAAGUACAGGAUGUCUUUAUUGCUGUGGAGAGGGAAACCUUCUCCAACCGUCUCCACCUGCACUUAUCACUCGCUGAGCAG
ensembl:lncRNA